GAAUCCCUGCCCUGUACGACAGCAGCCCCUUUUUAACCCACAUUUUUAGUACGGGAUUUCGGAAAGUUUUGGCAUUGAGCAGCAGGCCUCCCGGGUAUACACGGACGUUGGAAGCGCAGACAUGCCAAACAGAAAACCCACCUGCCGAGUCGUGCAGGUUACUAAUUGGGCUGCAUCGGCAGGGCGGGGCUUUU
rnacentral:other from 1 species